AACCAGCACCUCAAGUGGUCAGGAUGAUUAUUGGGCCUAAAGCAUCCGUAGCCGGCUCUGUAAGUUUUCGGUUAAAUCUGUACGCUCAACGUACAGGCUGCCGGGAAUACUGCAGAGCUAGGGAGUGGGAGAGGUAGACGGUACUCGGUAGGAAGGGGUAAAAUCCUUUGAUCUAUUGAUGACCACCUGUGGCGAAGGCGGUCUACCAGAACACGUUCGACGGUGAGGGAUGAAAGCUGGGGGAGCAAACCGG
rnacentral:rRNA from 1 species